rnacentral:rRNA from 1 species
AAGCAAGGGCGUAUGGGGAAUGCCUAGGCUCUCAGAGACGAUGAAGGACGCGACAAGCUGCGAAAAGCUACGGGGAGAGGCACAUACUUUUUGAUCCGUAGAUAUCCGAAUGGGGCAACCCAGCAUACUGAAGGUAUGUUAUCCGUAAGGAAGUUAACCCGCUGAACUGAAACAUCUAAGUAGGCGGAGGAAGAGAAAACAAGAGUGAUUCUGCGAGUAGCGGCGAGCGAAAGUGGAACAGCCCAAACCGAAAGUGUUACGGCACUUUCGGGGUUGUAGGACCACGACAUCUGAUGCAUAACGAACCAGAACCAGCCGGAGAGCUGGACCAUAGAGGGUGAUAGUCCCGUAUGGGUAAGAAAUGUUAUUGGUAGUGGUAUCCUGAGUAGGGCGGGGCACGUGAAACCUUGUCUGAAUACGGGGGGACCAUCCUCC